rfam:Triticum aestivum genome assembly, contig: Triticum_aestivum_CS42_TGACv1_scaffold_499715_6BL
CUGGUACUCCCUCAGUCCGGAAAUACAUCAAAAUGAAUAAAAAGGAUGUAUCUAGACACAUUUUAGUUUUAGAUACAUCCAUUUUUAUCCAUUUUGAUGACAAGUAUUUUCGAACGGAGGGAGUACGUA